rnacentral:rRNA from 1 species
AGUGAACGCUGGCGGUAGGCCUAACACAUGCAAGUCGAACGGCAGCACAGUAAGAGCUUGCUCUUACGGGUGGCGAGUGGCGGACGGGUGAGGAAUACAUCGGAAUCUACUUUUUCGUGGAGGAUAACGUAGGGAAACUUACGCUAAUACCGCAUACGAUCUACGGGUGAAAGCAGGGGAUCUUCGGACCUUGCGCGAUUGAAUGAGCCGAUGUCGGAUUAGCUAGUUGGCGGGGUAAAGGCCCACCAAGGCGACGAUCCGUAGCUGGUCUGAGAGGAUGAUCAGCCACACUGGAACUGAGACACGGUCCAGACUCCUACGGGAGGCAGCAGUGGGGAAUAUUGGACAAUGGGCGCAAGCCUGAUCCAGCCAUACCGCGUGGGUGAAGAAGGCCUUCGGGUUGUAAAGCCCUUUUGUUGGGAAAGAAAAGCAGCAGGUUAAUACCCCGCUGUUCUGACGGUACCCAAAGAAUAAGCACCGGCUAACUUCGUG